rnacentral:tRNA from 2 species
CCUUCGAUAGCUCAGUUGGUAGAGCGGUGGACUGUAGAUUCGGGUGCCAAUUUGGGCAUCAACAGUAGUUAUCCAUAGGUCGCUGGUUCAAAUCCGGCUCGAAGGA